rnacentral:rRNA from 1 species
AAUAAAACUUAGUAUCGCAUGAUACAAAGUUGAAAGGCGCUACGGCGUCACCUAGAGAUGGGUCCGCGGUGCAUUAGUUAGUUGGUGGGGUAAAGGCCUACCAAGACAAUGAUGCAUAGCCGAGUUGAGAGACUGAUCGGCCACAUUGGGACUGAGACACGGCCCAAACUCCUACGGGAGGCUGCAGUAGGGAAUCUUCCACAAUGGGCGAAAGCCUGAUGGAGCAACGCCGCGUGUGUGAUGAAGGCUUUAGGGUCGUAAAGCACUGUUGUAUGGGAAGAAAUGCUAGAAUAGGGAAUGAUUCUAGUUCGACGGUACCAUACCAGAAAGGGACGGCUAAAUACGUGCCAGCAGCCGCGGUAAUACGUAUGUCCCGAGCGUUAUCCGGAUUUAUUGGGCGUAAAGCGAGCGCAGACGGUUGAUUAAGUCUGAUGUGAAAGCCCGGAGCUCAACUCCGGAAUGGCAUUGGAAACUGGUUAACUUGAGUGUUGUAGAGGUAAGUGGAACUCCAUGUGUAGCGGUGGAAUGCGUAGAUAUAUGGAAGAACACCAGUGGCGAAGGCGGCUUACUGGACAACAACUGACGU